GCAUGCAGCCGAGCGCGAACCGUAGCAAUACGGGGAGAGCGGCAAACGGGGUAGGAAGGAUUGGUGACGUACCCUUCGGACGGGGAUAGCCACGGGAAACUGUGGGUAAUACCCGAUAACCUCCUGGGUUUGAAUACUCAGGUGCAAAGGUGUGAUUCCACCGGAGGAGCGGCCAAUUUGACAUCAGCUAGUUGGUGAGGUAACGGCUCACCAAGGCUACGACGUCUAGGGGGUGUGAGAGCAUGGCCCCCACCACUGGGACUGAGAUACUGCCCAGACACCUACGGGUGGCUGCAGUCGAGAAUCUUCGGCAAUGGACGAAAGUCUGACGGAGCGACGCCGCGUGCGGGAUGAAGGCCCUUGGGUUGUAAACCGCUGUCAGAGGGGAUGAAAUCUUCGGAGGUACUCCUCCGAAGUUGACAGAGCCUCAAAGGAAGCACGGGCUAAGUACGUGCCAGCAGCCGCGGUAACACGUACUGUGCGAACGUUAUUCGGAAUCACUGGGCUUAAAGGGUGCGUAGGCGGCGAUUCAAGUCAGAUGUGAAAUGCCUGAGCUCAACUGAGGCAUUGCGUUUGAAACUGAAUUGCUAGAGUAUCCUAGGGGUGUGCGGAACUGCCAGUGGAACGGUGAAAUGUGUUGAUAUUGGCAGGAACACCGGAGGCGAAAGCGGCACACUGGGGGAUAACUGACGCUGAGGCACGAAAGCCAAGGGAGCGAACGGGAUUAGAUACCCCGGUAGUCCACGCCGUAAACGAUGGAUGCUAGCCGUCGGCAAGCUUGCUUGUCGGUG
rnacentral:rRNA from 1 species